GAGCUGUAUUAAAGGGCUGCAGCAUUAGGAAGGCUGAACAACUGAUGCAAUGUAUGACCAGAUGCCUCAAGCUUCUGACACCAUGCCUCCCCUGCCAUGACAUGCCUCCCCUCAAGCUAUGAGCCAAAAUAAGCCUUCCCUCUGUAAGCAGCUUCUUGUUCGGCAUUUGAUUCCAGAAACAAGAAAGUUUGCUUGAGAGUUUGCUUGAAGGCCAAGGAUAUGCAGUCCUUUUCUAAAUUAAGUUAUCUCAAGAUCCUCAACAGAGUAAUUACUGAGAAACUCUGCUGCCCAGAAAACGUCUAUUAGAAUUAUUGAGUACCAACGAAACUACGAAGCAGGGAGAGGGAGGGUGCUGUAUUUAUAUCCUACACCAUAAUCAAUGCUUUUGGAUUGUUGAAAUUCAUCUUUGUUGGAGCAGUAUCUUGCAUCUAUAUAAGAAGUUUAGAAUGGUUGAAGUUCA